GGAGAGGUGGCCGAGUGGUUGAAGGCGCACGCCUGGAAAGUGUGUAUACGGCUCAAACCGUAUCAAGGGUUCGAAUCCCUUUCUCUCCUCCA
rnacentral:tRNA from 1 species